rnacentral:rRNA from 1 species
GUCUAAUACCGGAUAUGACUCCUCAUCGCAUGGUGGGGGGUGGAAAGCUUUUGUGGUUUUGGAUGGACUCGCGGCCUAUCAGCUUGUUGGUGAGGUAAUGGCUCACCAAGGCGACGACGGGUAGCCGGCCUGAGAGGGUGACCGGCCACACUGGGACUGAGACACGGCCCAGACUCCUACGGGAGGCAGCAGUGGGGAAUAUUGCACAAUGGGCGCAAGCCUGAUGCAGCGACGCCGCGUGAGGGAUGACGGCCUUCGGGUUGUAAACCUCUUUCAGUAGGGAAGAAGCGAAAGUGACGGUACCUGCAGAAGAAGCGCCGGCUAACUACGUGCCAGCAGCCGCGGUAAUACGUAGGGCGCAAGCGUUAUCCGGAACUAUUGGGCGUAAAGAG